rnacentral:rRNA from 1 species
UGCCAGCCGCCGCGGUAAUACGGAGGGGGCAAGCGUUGUUCGGAAUUACUGGGCGUAAAGGGCGUGUAGGCGGCCAGGUCAGUCAGGCGUGAAAGCCCGGGGCUCAACCCCGGAAUAGCGCUUGAUACUGCUUGGCUUGAGACCGGAAGAGGGUAGUGGAAUUCCCAGUGUAGAGGUGAAAUUCGUAGAUAUUGGGAAGAACACCAGUGGCGAAGGCGGCUACCUGGUCCGGAUCUGACGCUGAGGCGCGAAAGCGUGGGGAGCAAACAGGAUUAGAUA